UAACCCCAAUGGACUCUACUCAAUAUGC
rnacentral:piRNA from 1 species